AGCCUGCAAGAAAACAGAAUGAAGGGCCAGGCCAGUGAUACAAUUACUUUACAUUCAGAAACCAGGAAAAAGACUCAGUGGCUGAGAAACACAGUUCCUCAAAAUUACUGGAUACCCCUACUUGUAGAGAAACGCCAUUCUCUGCCUUGGUGAGAUCUGCCAACAAAGAACAGGUUCUGACCACGAAGACUUAAUGAGUGUAAAACAGCAGUCACAAAUACAUAUCUAUCUCUUGUACACUACAGUGAAACGUCUGGCAACUGCUGACACUGAUGAAAAGUCCUCUUAAGAUAAUGGAUAAACAGAACUGGCAAUACCUAACCGGAAACUAUCUACUGAGACUAACUGGAUAAGGACUUCAUUGCUACGCUCCACCCCCAACCCAGUAUCUCCUCUUCAGGGAUGAAAUACUAAAACAAAAAAAAUUCCACCUCAAGAAAAACCCACGUGAGCACUUCUACCCCUUCAAGCAACAGCAAGACUGCUCCAACAGCCCGUGGCACACCUUCCAAUGAGAGAAAAAGAAACCCCAGAAGUUAAUUUCUCAUGAAACAAAAACUAUUGCUUUGGGAAGUUUAGCAUUUAGUUGCCUUAACAGGCCAGCAGUCAGCUGGUCUGCCUAUGAGAUCACUGCUUGCCAAAGUCCAGAUUUUAUCUAGAUUCAGAAAAAGGGAGAGAACUCAUAAGCCAGGGAAAGCGACCUUGUAGAGCUCAGAGGGAUGUUUAACCCAGGGUGUCAUGGAGCUUGUUUGACUUUGGGUUAAUGUGAACAGAGGACACACGUUUGUACUUCUCUCUAUUAUAUCCAGAGGAGAGAAAGGGAAAGAAAAUCCAUUUGCUCAACACGGAAAGGUCAAAUGUGUAUUGCCCAAUUCCUAAAACUGCGUAUGAAAAUCAUCAGAAAAUUACAUCAGAAAAAGAAACUCUCUAAACAGCAUCCUUUAUUAUCUAAGAAGGACAGUCAAACUACGUUACAUAGGAAUUCAUGUAGGAUGUAAAUACAUGUUUGCUUUAGCAGGGUGUUUUCUUUAACAAGGCUUGGCAUCUUACUGCAUUCCAUUUGAAUUAAACUGUUUUUAAUGAAC